rnacentral:lncRNA from 1 species
UGGGGAGAUCCCUUUCUCCUUUCAAAAAACUGUGUUUUACUUUGAUUUUUUUCCUAGGGCCUAUAGAUACCAGAUCUGAGGUCUAAGUUAUUUUAGAACUAUCCUCUCAAACUUUCCUUUUCUGUCAGGAUGAUAUGUUUUGUUUUAAGGUGAGUUUCAGGUGGCUUGGGCUUUUAGCUGGGGAUGACCUUGAACUCCUGGUUUUACUGGCUUCAUUUCCCAAGUGCUGGGAUUACAGGUACACACCACCAACCCCAACUUCAUAGUGUGUUUUAAUUCUUUUUUGUCUGUGUUUUUGGGAGGAAGUUUUAUAAUAGUUCAAGCUCGAGCUUAUGAUUCUCCUAGCUCUUCCUCCUACUGACUAGAAUUUUAUGGGUCUGUGCCAUCUCACCUGGCAUUACUUUCAUUCUUUAAGUUGUCCUUUUUUCACAUGAAAUCCAUAUUCACUUUCUGCUGUAGUCAAUCUUAUUUUCUGUACCUUGUCUGGGUUUCUUUUUCUUCUGAGACAGAAUUUCCUCUGUGUGACUUCUCUGGAAGUCACUCUAGGUUAGGCUGGCCUUGGAAGGUGUGGGCCACCACCACCCUAUAAGACGGGUCUUGCUGUGUGUACCUGGAGCCUGUUUUGUUGACCAUGCUAAGCAUGAACUUGAGGUCUCUCAUCGUAGCCUUCCACAUGCUAGGCAAGUAUCCUUCCACUGAAGUGCUCCAGGCAGCCCACUUCCAGUCUCUUCCUUCUUUUUUCCUUCCCCUUUCUCCCUUUUUCAUCUUUUUUUUUAAGAUUUAUUCAUUUAUUAUAUAUAAGUACACUGUAGCUGUUUUCAGAUACACCAGAAGAGGGCGUCAGAUCUCUUUACAGAUGGUUGUGAGCCACCAUGUGGUUGCUGGGAAUUGAACUCAGGACCUCUGGAAGAGUAGUCGGGUGCUCUUAACCACUGAGCCAUCUCUCCAGCCCUCCCUUUUUCAUUUUUAAAAACAUUUCUCCCCAUAUGGAAACAGGAUUUUUAUACUUUGAUAGCUCAGGCUGGUCUGUAUCUUAGCAUAUAGCCUAAGCUGACCUCCAAUUCUCAGAUCCUCCUGCCUCAGGCUCCCACUAAACAGCCAAAGUAGGUUGUAUCUGGAGCAAAAUUCAGGUUUAGAUUUUCCCAUUAUAAGGAAAGAAUAGGUUGGGGAUUUAGCUCAGUGGUAGAGCGCUUGCCUAGGAAGCGCAAGGCCCUGGGUUCGGUCCCCAGCUCCAAAA